rnacentral:SRP_RNA from 1 species
GCUGGAUGCUGCAGCAUGCACCUACAGUUCCAGCUACUUGAGAGGCUGAGGCAGGAGGAUGGCAGCUUGAACCCAGGUGUUCUGGGCCGCAGUUUGUUAUACUUAUUGGGUAUCCCUGCUAAGUACAACAUCAACAUGGUGACCUUCCAGGGGCAGAAGACUACCUAACCAGGUUGCCUAAGGAGAGGUAAACCAACUCAGGUCAGAAUGGAGUAGGUCAAAACUCCAUGGUGAUCAGUAGUGGGAUUGAGCCUGUGAAUACCCACUGCCCGAGCAACAUAGCAAGACCCCAUCUCUC